GGAGAGAUGCAGGAGUGGUUGAACUGGCCGCUCUCGAAAAGCGGUAAGGCAGCAAUGUCUUCAAGGGUUCAAAUCCCUUUCUCUCCG
rnacentral:tRNA from 1 species